UACGGGGGGGGCAAGCGUUGUUCGGAAUUACUGGGCGUAAAGGGCCCGUAGGUGGCCAACUAAGUCAGACGUGAAAUCCCUCGGCUUAACCUGGGAAUUGCAUCCGAUACUGGAUGGCUUGAAUCCGGGAGAGGGAUGCGGAAUUCCAGGUGUAGCGGUGAAAUGCGUAGAUAUCUGGAGGAACACCGGUGGCGAAGGCGGCAUCCUGGACCGGCAUUGACGCUGAGGAGCGAAAGCCAGGGGAGCAAACGGG
rnacentral:rRNA from 1 species